GGAGAGGGCUAGCGUUAUUCGGAAUUAUUGGGCGUAAAGGGCGCGUAGGCGGAUUAGUAAGUUAAAAGUGAAAUCCCAAGGCUCAACCUUGGAAUUGCUUUUAAAACUGCUAAUCUAGAGAUUGAAAGAGGAUAGAGGAAUUCCUAGUGUAGAGGUGAAAUUCGUAAAUAUUAGGAGGAACACCAGCGGCGAAGGCGUCUAUCUGGUUCAAAUCUGACGCUGAGGCGCGAAGGCGUGGGGAGCAAACAGGAUUAGAUACCCUGGUAGUCCACGCUGUAAACGAUGAAUGUUAAAUAUGGGGAGUUUACUUUCUGUAUUACAGCUAACGCGUUAAACAUUCCGCCUGGGGACUACGGUCGCAAGAUUAAAACUCAAAGGAAUUGACGGGGACCCGCACAAGCGGUGGAGCAUGUGGUUUAAUUCGAUGCAACGCGAAAAACCUUACCACUCCUUGACAUGGAAAUUAUACCUAUUCGAAGGGAUAGGGUCGGUUCGGCCGGGUUUCACACAGGUGU
rnacentral:rRNA from 1 species